AUGCUAAAUGGGAUUUCCUGUAUUUCAACCUGUGCCCACUGCCUCUUGUGCUUUCGUUGGGCACCACUGACAGGAAGGCUCUGUCUUCUCUUCCCCACCCAAAGUCACCCUUCUCUGAGGCUCAAGCCGUCACCACUCACUCAGGUUCCUUCAUACCACAGAGCCUCAACAGCCUCAGCUGCUUGGGGGGUUCUCCCUGCCACAGCUGUGUGUUUUGUCAUUGUGGAGAGCACAGGUCAGGGUGCAGUGCCAGGUGCCAUCUGUCCCCAGGAGGGAGUCAGCUUGCUGGUGACCUGUCUCCUCACCCAUCCUGGGAGACUGUUGGCUGCUACCUGGGCUUUCCUACACUCUCCACCUGGGCAGGCAGGCAGUGCUGGGCAGCCCACCCUUUGGGCUGGGAAGAUGUUGAAAAGAAGCAAUUCCUGUGCUUUCUCCCUGGGCAGAACCUCGAACUGGACCAAGGCAGGUGCCUGCGGGGGGAACAGGAGAAGCUCCUGGGUGUGUGAGCUGUAUUUUGACAGGAUUCAUGAUAUCUACUGGGCACGGGUGAGAGUGGUGGCCGGAGGUGAGCAGUCCGAGUGGGCCAGUUCCAGCGAGCUGCAGCUGUACAGAGACACAAUUAUUGGCCCCCCCAAGUUGUCCUGGCUGCUCCAGGAUCAAAUCCUCAGCAUAAAAAUCAUCACACCACUCACUCCCUACAAGAAAAGAACUGGUUCCUACAAGCCAGUCGACCGAGUGCUGCUGAAGCUGUGGUACUGGCUGCACCUGUACGAGGAGGACCUGCUUGUCCAGCAGGUGCCCUGCAAACGGAGCAGUGAGAAAGUGCCUUGCACCUUUGGGCACCUGAAGCCCAGCACACAGUACUGUGUCCGGACGGUGGCUGCAGACAUUGCCAGGGAGCGGAGCCGGGAGGCUGAGCGGUGCCUGGUGACUCCAGCAGGCCCUGCAGGCUUUCCAUGGGUCCUUGCCGUGCUGAGCGCCUUCUUCCUGCUGCUGCUGCUAAGUGUGGCCGGGCUGUGCUUCAUUCAGCUGCACGUGUUCCCCAGUCCUCCAGAGAUCUGCCUCCCAAAAGCACUGACUCUCCAGAACAGCGAGCUGAGUGUGCCCACUCAGGGGCCUCCCCUCCAGCGUGAGGAGGAUGCCCUGGCGCUGCUC
rnacentral:lncRNA from 1 species